GGGUUGUGAGGUUAAGCGACUAAGCGUACACGGUGGAUGCCCUGGCAGUCAGAGGCGAUGAAGGNNUCGUCACACUAUCAUUAACUGAAUCCAUAGGUUAAUGAGGCGAACCGGGGGAACUGAAACAUCUAAGUACCCCGAGGAAAAGAAAUCAACCGAGAUUCCCCCAGUAGCGGCGAGCGAACGGGGAGGAGCCCAGAGCCUGAAUCAGCAUGUGUGUUAGUGGAAGCGUCUGGAAAGGCGCGCGAUACAGGGUGACAGCCCCGUACACAAAAGCGCAUGUGCUGUGAGCUCGAUGAGUAGGGCGGGACACGUGGUAUCCUGUCUGAAUAUGGGGGGACCAUCCUCCAAGGCUAAAUACUCCUGACUGACCGAUAGUGAACCAGUACCGUGAGGGAAAGGCGAAAAGAACCCCGGCGAGGGGAGUGAAAAAGAACCUGAAACCGUGUACGUACAAGCAGUGGGAGCNNGUGACUGCGUACCUUUUGUAUAAUGGGUCAGCGACUUAUAUUCUGUAGCAAGGUUAACCGAAUAGGGGAGCCGGAGGGAAACCGAGUCUUAAUUGGGCGUUAAGUUGCAGGGUAUAGACCCGAAACCCGGUGAUCUAGCCAUGGGCAGGUUGAAGGUUGGGUAACACUAACUGGAGGACCGAACCGACUAAUGUUGAAAAAUUAGCGGAUGACCUGUGGCUGGGGGUGAAAGGCCAAUCAAACCGGGAGAUAGCUGGUUCUCCCCGAAAGCUAUUUAGGUAGCGCCUCGUGAAUUCAUCUCCGGGGGUAGAGCACUGUUUCGGCUAGGGGGCCAUCCCGGCUUACCAACCCGAUGCAAACUGCGAAUACCGGAGAAUGUUAUCACGGGAGACACACGGCGGGUGCUAACGUCCGUCGUGAAGAGGGAAACAACCCAGACCGCCAGCUAAGGUCCCAAAGUCAUGGUUAAGUGGGAAACGAUGUGGGAAGGCCCAGACAGCCAGGAUGUUGGCUUAGAAGCAGCCAUCAUUUAAAGAAAGCGUAAUAGCUCACUGGUCGAGUCGGCCUGCGCGGAAGAUGUAACGGGGCUAAACCAUGCACCGAAGCUGCGGCAGCGANNGUUGGGUAGGGGAGCGUUCUGUAAGCCUGUGAAGGUGUGUCGUGAGGCAUGCUGGAGGUAUCAGAAGUGCGAAUGCUGACAUAAGUAACGAUAAAGCGGGUGAAAAGCCCGCUCGCCGGAAGACCAAGGGUUCCUGUCCAACGUUAAUCGGGGCAGGGUGAGUCGACCCCUAAGGCGAGGCCGAAAGGCGUAGUCGAUGGGAAACGGGUUAAUAUUCCCGUACUUGGUGUUACUGCGAAGGGGGGACGGAGAAGGCUAUGUUGGCCGGGCGACGGUUGUCCCGGUUUAAGCGUGUAGGUGUGUGUUCCAGGUAAAUCCGGUUCACUUUAACACUGAGGCGUGAUGACGAGGCACUACGGUGCUGAAGCAACAAAUGCCCUGCUUCCAGGAAAAGCCUCUAAGCAUCAGGUAACAUCAAAUCGUACCCCAAACCGACACAGGUGGUCAGGUAGAGAAUACCAAGGCGCUUGAGAGAACUCGGGUGAAGGAACUAGGCAAAAUGGUGCCGUAACUUCGGGAGAAGGCACGCUGACACGUAGGUGAAGUGAUUUACUCAUGGAGCUGAAGUCAGUCGAAGAUACCAGCUGGCUGCAACUGUUUAUUAAAAACACAGCACUGUGCAAACACGAAAGUGGACGUAUACGGUGUGACGCCUGCCCGGUGCCGGAAGGUUAAUUGAUGGGGUCAGCGCAAGCGAAGCUCCUGAUCGAAGCCCCGGUAAACGGCGGCCGUAACUAUAACGGUCCUAAGGUAGCGAAAUUCCUUGUCGGGUAAGUUCCGACCUGCACGAAUGGCGUAAUGAUGGCCAGGCUGUCUCCACCCGAGACUCAGUGAAAUUGAACUCGCUGUGAAGAUGCAGUGUACCCGCGGCAAGACGGAAAGACCCCGUGAACCUUUACUAUAGCUUGACACUGAACAUUGAGCCUUGAUGUGUAGGAUAGGUGGGAGGCUUUGAAGCGUGGACGCCAGUCUGCGUGGAGCCGACCUUGAAAUACCACCCUUUAAUGUUUGAUGUUCUAACGUGGACCCGUAAUCCGGGUUGCGGACAGUGUCUGGUGGGUAGUUUGACUGGGGCGGUCUCCUCCUAAAGAGUAACGGAGGAGCACGAAGGUUGGCUAAUCCUGGUCGGACAUCAGGAGGUUAGUGCAAUGGCAUAAGCCAGCUUGACUGCGAGCGUGACGGCGCGAGCAGGUGCGAAAGCAGGUCAUAGUGAUCCGGUGGUUCUGAAUGGAAGGGCCAUCGCUCAACGGAUAAAAGGUACUCCGGGGAUAACAGGCUGAUACCGCCCAAGAGUUCAUAUCGACGGCGGUGUUUGGCACCUCGAUGUCGGCUCAUCACAUCCUGGGGCUGAAGUAGGUCCCAAGGGUAUGGCUGUUCGCCAUUUAAAGUGGUACGCGAGCUGGGUUUAGAACGUCGUGAGACAGUUCGGUCCCUAUCUGCCGUGGGCGCUGGAGAACUGAGGGGGGCUGCUCCUAGUACGAGAGGACCGGAGUGGACGCAUCACUGGUGUUCGGGUUGUCAUGCCAAUGGCACUGCCCGGUAGCUAAAUGCGGAAGAGAUAAGUGCUGAAAGCAUCUAAGCACGAAACUUGCCCCGAGAUGAGUUCUCCCUGAGACUU
rnacentral:rRNA from 1 species